UACGAAGGGGGCUAGCGUUGUUCGGAAUUACUGGGCGUAAAGGGCGCGUAGGCGGUGUGUCAAGUCAGGCGUGAAAGCCCCGGGCUCAACCUGGGAACCGCGCUUGAGACUGGCACGCUCGAGUUCGGGAGAGGAUGGUGGAAUUCCCAGUGUAGAGGUGAAAUUCGUAGAUAUUGGGAAGAACACCGAUGGCGAAGGCAGCCAUCUGGACCGACACUGACGCUGAGACGCGAAAGCGUGGGGAGCGAACCGG
rnacentral:rRNA from 1 species